rnacentral:lncRNA from 1 species
GACUUCGCCCCCGACUUCGACUAUAGGUGAACCUCAUCCGGACUCCUACGGGAGCCGGACUUCAUCCUGACUUCUGCUGCAGGUGAACUUCGUCCGGACUCCUACGGGAGCCGGACUUCGCCUCCGACGUCAAUUGCAGGUGAACUUCGUCCGGACUCCUACGGGAGCCGGACUUCAUCCUGACUUCUACUGCAGGUGAACUUCAUCCGGACUCCUGCGGGAGCCAGACUUCGCCCCC